rnacentral:rRNA from 1 species
GGGUGAGUAACACGUGGGUAACCUGCCUCAAAGAGGGGAAUAGCCUCCCGAAAGGGAGAUUAAUACCGCAUAAUAUGUUUUGAUCGCAUGAUCUUAACAUCAAAGGAAUUUUUCGGAAUUUCACUUUGAGAUGGACCCGCGGCGCAUUAGCUAGUUGGUGAGGUAAAGGCCCACCAAGGCAACGAUGCGUAUCCGACCUGAGAGGGUGAUCGGCCACAUUGGAACUGAGACACGGUCCAGACUCCUACGGGAGGCAGCAGUGGGGAAUAUUGCGCAAUGGGGGAAACCCUGACGCAGCACGCCGCGUGAAUGAUGAAGGCCUUCGGG